AGAACGAACGCUGGCGGCGUGGAUUAGGCAUGCAAGUCGAGCGCGAAAGGGGAGCAAUCCCCGAGUAGAGCGGCGAACUGGUGAGUAACAGGUGGGUAACGUACCCCGAAGCGGGGGAUAACCAAGGGAAACUUUGGCUAAUACCGCAUGUGGUCUAGGGAGCUUCGGCUUCUUCGACUAAAGCAGCAAUGCACUUUGGGAUCGGCCCGCCCCCGAUUAGCUAGUUGGUGAGGUAAUGGCUUACCAAGGCUGCGAUCGGUA
rnacentral:rRNA from 1 species